GUAUGUCUGUGUGUAUAUAUGUGUGUGUAUGUCAGUAUGUCUGUGUAUGACAGACAUACUGACAUACACACAGACAUAUACACACACAGACAUACUGACACACAU